CACAUCAUUAUCACCCACAGUUCAUAGUUUACACCAAGGUUCACUCUUAGUGUUGUAAAUUCUGUUUUUAUUUUAAUUAUGUUUUCAAGUGAUAGUACUUUUUGGCAUAUUUUCUUUGCCCUAAAAAUCCUCAGUACUCCCCCAUUCAUCCUUCUCUCCUUUUUAACCCCUCACAACCACUGAUGUUCUCCCCACCCCAUAGUGUUAACAAUUUAUUCACUCUUUUUUGGUGUGUGAGUAGUUCUUCUUUUAUUGUGGUUAAUUUUCUUUUUUAAAAAAAUUUAAUUGAUUUUUUAAAAAAUAAAUGACGGUGAAAUAACAUUACAAUUCUUAUUACACAUAUACAGCACAAUUUUCAUAUCUCUGGUUGUAUAUAAAGUAUGUUGACACCAAUUCGUGUCUUCAUACAUGUACUUUGGAUAAUGAUGUCCAUCACAUUCCACCAUCCUUGCUAACCCCCUGUCUCCUCCCUUUCCCUCCCAACCCUGUUCCCUAUCUAGAGUUCUUACUGUACCCAUAGUUUUUCCUUUUCCAGAAUGUCCUAUAAUCAAAAUCAAGCAAUAUGUAGUCUUUGCAGAUUGGCUUCUUUCAUUUGGUAAUAUGCAUUUAAAUUUUCUCCAGCUGUUCUUGUGGUUUGACAGACUGCUUCUUUUAGCACUUAAAACAUUCUAUUGUCUGGAAGUGCUAUAGUUUAUUUGUUCAUUUGUCUAUUGAAGGACAUUUUCAUUGCUUCUGCAUUCUGGAAACAAUGAAUAAAACCACUAUCAGCAUCCAUUUGCAUAUAUUGUGUGAGCAUAAGUUUUCAAAUCCUUUGAGUAAAUACCAAGGAUCAAGAUUGCUGGGUUGUAUAGUAAGAGUUUGCUUAACAUUUUAAGAAAUCAUCAAUGUGUCUUCUAAAAUGGCUAUAUAGCAUUUUUCAUUCCCUCCAGCAAUGAAUGAGAGUUCUUACUGACUAAUAUUCUUGAGAAUAUUUGGUGUGGUAUUUUGGAUUUUGUCCUUUCUUUAAUGGGUGUGCCAUAGCAGCUCAUUGUCUUAGUUUGUAUUUCUCUGAUGAUACAUGAUGUUAAGCAUCAUUUCAUAUGCUUUGUCAUCUGAAUAUUUUAUUUAGUGAAAAUGUAAAUACUGAUGGCAUCCGUCUUCUUUAGUGAGUUCUCUACACAAGUCUUUGGUACAUUAUUUUUACUAUGUUGCUUAUUUUGUUGACUUUUAGGAUUUUUGUGUACAAAUAAUGUUUUUUUCUUCUUCUUAAUUUAAAUAUUUUAUUUGUUCUUUUUAGAUAUAUAUGACAGAGAGUGUAUUUCAAAAUAUUAUAUAUACAUAGGACAUAACUUAUUCUAAUUAAGAUCGCAUUUUUUAUUGUUCAUGAUGUGGGGUUUCGCUGGUCAUGUAUUCAUAUAUGAACAUAGGAAAGUAUGUCUAAUUCAUUCCUUCUACUGUCUUUCCUAAACCCAUCACCCCUCCCUUCUCUUCAUUCUCCUUUGUCUAUGCCAAUAAAUUUCUAUUCUUCCCAUCCUUCACCCCCACUUAUUGUGUGCUACCAUCCACAUAUCAGAGAAACCAUUCAGCUUUGAUUCUUUGGACUGGUUUCAUCCAAAUGCCAUAAUUUAAUUUUCCUCAUGGCUGAGUAAUAUUCCAUUGUGUAUGUGGUAAGGAGCAUUUAGGUUGGUUCCAUAGCUUUGCUAUUGUGAAUUGAAUGACUAUAAACAUUUUUGUGCCUGCAUCUCUGUAGUAUGCUGAUUUUAAGUCCUUUGGGUAUAAACUGAGGUGUGGGAUAGUUAGGUCAAAUGGUGGUUCCAUUCUAAGUUUUCUGAGGUAUUUCCACACUGCUUUCCAUAGUGGUUACACCAAUUUGCAGUCCCACCAGCAACGUAGGAGUGUACCUUUUUCCCUAUAUCUUCAACAACACUUAAUUAUUGUUACUGUAUUCUUGAUAAUUGCCAUUCUGACUGGAGUGAGAUGGAGUCUCAGUGUACUUUUAAUUUGCAUUUCUCUAAUUGCUAGAGAUGUUAAAUGUUUUUUUUUUCAUAUAUUUGUUGACCAAUCACAUUUCUUUUUUUGUGUGUGUGUGUGUGAAGUGUCCAUUCAGUUCCUAUGCCCAUUUAUUGACUGGAUUAUUGGGGGAGUUUUUGGUGUCAAGUGUUUUUGAGUUCUUUGUAUAACCUGGAGGUUAAUGCUGUAUCUAAGGUGCAGGUGGCAAAGAUUUUCUCCCAUUCUGUAGGCUCUCUCUCCACGUUCUUGAUUGUUUCCUUGGCUGUGAAGAAGUUAUUUAGUUUGAUACUAUCCCGUUUAUUGUUUCUUGAUUUUACUCCUUGUGCUUUAGGAGUCUUGUUGAGGAAGUGGGUUCCUAAGCUGACGUGAUGGAGAGUUGGACCUACUCUUUCUUCAGUAGGUGCACGAUCUCUGGUCUAAUGCCUAGGUCCCUGAUCCACUUAGAAUUGAGAUAAAAAUAAUGGUCCUUAAUCUGAUGUAUCUUUUAUGAAUAUUUUCUCCUAGACUGUGACUUGC
rnacentral:lncRNA from 1 species